AGUCCACGUGCUGAUUCUUUUUGCACAUCCAUUUACACAUCCUUGAUUACGAAAUUUUUUACCACAUGGUGUCACACACAGGCUUGUUCGGGGAUCGACUGGCCGGCGGCAAUCGUCGCCGCGAGCUCGACGCAUGCCAAUAUCUCCGCUUCUAGGCCUUCCCGCGCGACGCCACUUGGAGACAACACGUAUAACAUCAAUACAAAACAUAUCCUAGCUUCAUAGCGCGCGCGCCGACUCGGAAUACCCGCAAAUGUCGUACCAGCCUGUCUCAGGAUGGCGGCACAGGCCUCGGCGAGCUCGACAAACCUCCAUAUCUUCACUACCAGGUCGUCCCACGUGACGCCACUUUCGGAGCACCUGUUUAACAUCAUUACAAAGCAUAUCCUAGCUCGGCUGCAUGGGCGCCGAUUCGGAAGACUCACAGACCCGUUUCGUGAGUCAAUCCCGUAUGCAGCUCAGCAUGCUCGAUUGG